UACGUAGGGAGCAAGCGUUGUUCGGAUUUACUGGGCGUAAAGGGCGCGUAGGCGGCCGAUUAAGUCAGCUGUGAAAUCUCCGAGCUUAACUCGGAACUGUCAGCUGAUACUGUUUUGCUAGAGUGCGGAAGGGGCAAUCGGAAUUCUUGGUGUAGCGGUGAAAUGCGUAGAUAUCAAGAGGAACACCUGAGGUGAAGACGGGUUGCUGGGCCAACACUGACGCUGAGGCGCGAAAGCCAGGGGAGCAAACGGG
rnacentral:rRNA from 1 species